AUCGGCGGUGGUAUGAGAACAUGUCGCCGUAUAUAUAUAUAAUUCUGAUUCUAUGAUCAGAAUAGAUAUUUGGAUCACGGGGCGCCUGGCGAUCCACCCGCCUGGCGAUCAGAUGUUCCCGAACUCACCCCCGCCGGCCCGUCCACAUUUACCGCAACAGUUCUCUGGCCCGAUCCACCCGCACCACCUCUCUGCCCCCAAUCCUCGUGGCCACCCGCCGCCGCCCUGGCUCCGGCGCGCCACCCGUCGCCGCACUGGCUCCGGCGCCACCCUCCGCCACCCCCACGGCCCUGACGCGCCACCCGCCACCGCCCUGCCUCCGCCGCACCCAUGGCCCCGAUGCGCCACCCGCCACCGGCCCCCUGCUUCCGCCGCCCCCAUGGGCCCGAUGCGCCACCCGCCACCGGCCCCCUGCCUUCGCCGCCCCAUGGCCCCGAUGUGCCACCCGCCACCGGCCCCUUGCCUCCGGCGCCCUACCUUCCACCGCCGCCACGGGUGGGGGGGGGGGGGGGGGGGGGGGCGCGGGGGGGGGGGGGGGGGGGGGGGGGGGGCGCUCGUGGUGGCGCAGCUGACAGGGAUUGGGCGCUUCUUGAAGCUGCAGGAGGCGUUGACCUGCAGCUGGAGCAUGCCUCGACCUGCAUCUAGUCGCGCGUGCCAUGACGGUCGAGGCCACAUGGCACGUCGAGGCCUGUAGGUGAUGAUGCCUUUGUUACUUCCGGCAACCAGGGAUGUAAGCUACUGCGGCCAUUCCCAUGUGUACGAGAUGCAUGUGGCGCACAGACCAGCCUCCCGCCCAGCCGCCGUGACAUGUGGCCACCUAGCACUUCUACGCCCCAUGCUUUUCUGUUGUUCCCCUGUACUGUAUCUAGAUCAAGCGUUGAUUCCUCCCCCCUGUCCAGUUCUGUAUUGUUUGUAAGUAAUUUUGAUGUCUGAAGUUCAGCUAUACGUGCAGGUGCAAAAAACUAAUGUUUUCCGUUGGUUUUAGUUUCACAGGUCCUUCAGAAAAAUGGGAAAAGGGGUUUUCUUCCAUAUUUAUCUACAAAAUGUAUCAAUGCCUCUGUUUAUAGGAGGCACGGAGAUGUUUCCUGGACGGAUGUGCAAUCUGGUUUAAAUGGGCGAUGGCACAAAAUUAGGCCUCUUAGGUGUGGGAAUGGCACUCUUCGCCAUGAUCGCCAUGAGGAAAAUCUACAACCUACUAAAAGUUCAGCUGGUGCUUGUGUGUUCACAUGAAGACAGGAAUUGUGUGAGGGAGUAGAAAAGAAAAUUGUGGUAGAGAACAUGCCAUAGGCGUGGGUAAGUUGUGAUGUGAGGAAAUGCAUACACAUGUGUAUACAUUCCAAUUCUGCACUCAUAUGUACUCCUGCUUUUUUUGACACAAAAAUGUGCUCCUGCUAAGACAGAGAAACUACAUGUACUUCUGUAUUUAUGCUUAAAAAAUCACUGAAAAAACCA